UACGGAGGGUGCAAACGUUGCUCGGAAUCAUUGGGCGUAAAGCGCACGUAGGCGGCUCGUUAAGUCGGAUGUGAAAGCCCUGGCUCAACCCAGGAAGUGCAUACGAAACUGGCGAGCUUGAGUAUGGAAGAGGGUCGCGGAAUUCCCGGUGUAGAGGUGAAAUUCGUAGAUAUCGGGAGGAACACCAGUGGCGAAGGCGGCGACCUGGGCCAAUACUGACGCUGAGGUGCGAAAGCGUGGGGAGCAAACAGG
rnacentral:rRNA from 1 species